AAAAAAAAAAUAGCAAGAACUGAAAGAGUGAACGGGAGAGAUAUCUGAAAUUGGAGUGUUGCCGGAGAAGUUGAGAAACUAAGGAAGAAGGAGACUUAGAUCAACAAAGUAAGGGCUGAAAAUCUUAAGGAACCAACCAACCUUUGCUGGAGAAAGAGAUGAUAUUCCAGGUGAAGCUGAAGAAGUUUAGAACGAGGAGCGUGUUGGGA
rnacentral:sRNA from 1 species